rnacentral:rRNA from 1 species
UGGGGAAUCUUGGACAAUGGGCGCAAGCCUGAUCCAGCCAUGCCGCGUGAGUGAUGGAGGCCUUAGGGUUGUAAAGCUCUUUUGCCGGGGACGAUAAUGACGGUACCCGGAGAAUAAGUCCCGGCUAACUUCGUGCCAGCAGCCGCGGUAAUACGAAGGGGACUAGCGUUGUUCGGAAUCACUGGGCGUAAAGCGCACGUAGGCGGAUUUGUAAGUCAGGGGUGAAAUCCCGGGGCUCAACCUCGGAACUGCCUUUGAUACUGCGGAUCUCGAGUCCGAUAGAGGUGAGUGGAAUUCCUAGUGUAGAGGUGAAAUUCGUAGAUAUUAGGAAGAACACCGGUGGCGAAGGCGGCUCACUGGAUCGGUACUGACGCUGAGGUGCGAAAGCGUGGGGAGCAAACAGGAUUAGAUACCCCAGUAGUCCCUGAGCGGGCUGGCAAGGCGCAU